rnacentral:rRNA from 1 species
AGAGUUUGAUUCUGGCUCAGGAUGAACGCUAGCGAUAGGCCUAACACAUGCAAGUCGAGGGGCAGCACAUGAAGUAGCAAUACGGAUGGUGGCGACCGGCGCACGGGUGAGUAACGCGUAUGCAACCUGCCUACAACAGGGGAAUAACCCGUUGAAAGACGGACUAAUACCCCAUAACACAGGGAUCCCGCAUGGGAAUAUUUGUUAAAGAUUUAUCGGUUGUAGAUGGGCAUGCGUUCCAUUAGCUUGUUGGUGAGGUAACGGCUCACCAAGGCAACGAUGGAUAGGGGAACUGAGAGGUUUAUCCCCCACACUGGUACUGAGACACGGACCAGACUCCUACGGGAGGCGGCAGUGAGGAAUAUUGGUCAAUGGACGCAAGUCUGAACCAGCCACGUCGCGUGAAGGAAGACGGCCCUACGGGUUGUAAACUUCUUUUGUAAGGGAAUAAAGUGUAGUACGUGUACUAUUUUGCAUGUACCUUACGAAUAAGGAUCGGCUAACUCCGUGCCAGCAGCCGCGGUAAUACGGAGGAUCCGAGCGUUAUCCGGAUUUAUUGGGUUUAAAGGGUGCGCAGGCGGGAGAUUAAGUCGGCGGUGAAAUUUUGCAGCUCAACUGUAAAAGUGCCUUCGAAACUGGUUUCCUUGAGUGUGGAUGAAGUAGGCGGAAUUUGUGGUGUAGCGGUGAAAUGCAUAGAUAUCACGAGGAACUCCGAUUGCGCAGGCAGCUUACUAAACCAUAACUGACGCUCACGCACGAAGGCGUGGGGAUCAAACAGGAUUAGAUACCCUGGUAGUC